UCUAAAACAGUUUCAAAUAUCUCAAUGUCACAUUCAUUUAAUUUUAAAAUAAUUAAUAAAUCACGCGAACCAUACGUGUCAUGUUAAAACAUAUGUGUCAUGCCAUGCUUAAACAAAAUUUAUUCCACAUGCAACGGGACAGAUUACUUCAGUAGAACUCUAAUCCCAACUCUAAAAUCUCGAUUAUUUCAACACUUAUGUCUCAACUAACCUCAACUCUAUCAUCUCAAACCUCUCAUUCCAAUAGGACUGGCGCCCAGAGAGCAAAGCUCGACCAGGGACCUUACCUCCAGUCCGGUCACUUAACUCUCAGCCUUAGCCUUUUGGCUCUCUUAUCCAAUAAGACUGGCGCCCCGAGAGCAAAGCUCGACCAGGGACCUUACCUCCAGUCUGGUCACUUAAGUAUCCAAAUAAGAAAUCUAAUAGCCAUUCGACUCUCUUAAUCUAAUAAGACUGGCGCCCCGAGAGCAAAGCUCGACCAGGGACCUUACCUCCAGUCUGGUCACUUAAAU
rnacentral:lncRNA from 1 species